UACGGAGGGUGCAAGCGUUGUUCGGAAUGACUGGGCGUAAAGCGCACGUAGGCGGGUUCGCAAGUCAGAUGUGAAAUCCCCGGGCUUAACCCGGGAAUGGCAUUUGAAACUACAAACCUUGAAUACUUGAGAGGUUGGCGGAAUUCCUGGUGUAGGAGUGAAAUCCGUAGAUAUCAGGAGGAAUAUCGGAGGCGAAGGCGGCCAACUGGUGGUGUAUUGACGCUAAGGUGCGAAAGCGUGGGGAGCAAACAGG
rnacentral:rRNA from 1 species